ensembl:lncRNA
AGCAAUUUUUUCUUCUUUAUUUUUGUUAAAUAAGAUUCCAGAAAGUAUAGUGCAAACACUCAGUAGAAAAGUUGCAAUUAAGAAAUGUACAUUCACAUUUAACAUUUCAGUCCAUUCACUGGUUUUUGCUUUUUAAAUAAAAAUAGGACAAAUUAUUCAAUUACUUGUCUCAAUUUAACAAUCUUGGAAAAGACUGGAAGGUGCUCUACAGUGUUCAGUUGACGUAAAAAUAGACCCGUAUUGAUUAUACAAAUCUAUCACGAGAGGUUCCCCAGUGAUAUUGAGUUGGUGUCCUUCUGGAACAGACAUCUGGUUUCCACGUCUAAAGAAGCACUCUCAGCAAGGUCUACUGAUGGGAGAACGUGUCACCCAGGCCCACUCUGUGCUCCCAGGCGGGACACGGAGGGACACAGGGGUUCACACAAACCCUUCUCAGACAAUCAAGAAAGUCCAAGCGGGGGCUUUGGGUUUACCUUAAAUGAGAGAUGGUUGUAAUUGUUACAUUAUCUCUGCUUGUGCAAGGCGGUGUGCAAUCAGUGUGAAGGAGAGAUGGAGGAAGGGGGCGGGGCUCUGCAGGUGUGCAGGAGAUGCAAGGCUCAGGGUCCAGGAUCCGCCGUGGCGGGACGCUCUGCGGCCAGCCGGCAGACGACCCGUGGUGGCCUGGGCCUGUCCCUUUGCACAUGCUGCAUGUGUUGGAAUCCAAACGAAGUUUCACACACUUGGGAAUCUCACAGCAUGCGAUGCUGAGUGCGUGUGGCUUGCGGGGCCGCAGUUUCCAACGGGGAGAAAGGCAGGACUGCAAGCCUCUCUGGGGCUGAUGCCCGGGGAGCGCCCUACGGGCAGGUGCAAGAGGCCGUGGAGGCUUCCUCGGGACUCCCGGAACGUGGGAGUGGUCCCCUGAGACUGAGAUCUGCCCUGGGUGUCCUCCUGUCCCCAGGAAGGGACACUACACCACGUGAUGAGGACAUUGGCCGGCUCUGGCCAGGAGUUGGGGGCUGGCUUGGCUCCUUGUGAGGGGAGAGGCGUGUGCAGCUUGGGGGUUCCAGGGGGCCUGGCUCUCCCCCUGGCUGAUGUCAGAGAGGCCUUACAGGAAGAGACAGGACGACUGUGCUCCUGGCCGAGGGAGAGGCUGUUUACUAAGACACGAUGGCAGGUGGUACUGCGGACAUGGCUUCAGGACAGUAAGUGUAACAAGACAGGGCGAGGUGGGCUCCUUUGGGCCCCCACUGUGUCUCUGCUGGGGAUCAGCUGUUCAAGCAGAGGCAGGGCUCAGCCGCGAGCACAUGCCCUGUUCUCAUCUCGCCACGUGAGGCCUGGGUGAGGAUGACCUUGUGCCUGGGCACAUCCCUGGAUGGGCUGUGGGGCAAGCCCCCGGCCUGAGGACCCACCUGGCUGCUCAGAACCAACCUGCCAGGCACCCCCACCACUUGUGCGUGCACGGGCUAAGGGCUCCAUCAACACCAACACUUCACUGAGUUCAUGGUUAGCUACGAGGCGCCCAAGAGAACGGACACCCAGGGGCUUGGGAUAGAUGGGACCCGGAUGCCUCCUGGUCCUGCGCUCAGUGCUGUGCAACUUUGUCUAAGUCUGUCACCUCUCUGAGCCUCUGAUUCCUCACGGACAACGUGGGGGGUGUAAGCAGGCCUCCCUCUGCAGACUGUCUGGAGGAGAGCGGGCUCGAGGCCGGGAAGGCGCUCCUUGCGGUCACAGGCAAAGCCCAUCAGAGUCAUCUGCUCACCAAAGCCACCACGGGCCUCCCCUGCGC